rnacentral:rRNA from 1 species
AUUGAACGCUGGCGGCAUGCUUUACACAUGCAAGUCGAACGGUAACAGGCCGCAAGGUGCUGACGAGUGGCGAACGGGUGAGUAAUGCAUCGGAACGUGCCCAGUCGUGGGGGAUAACGCAGCGAAAGCUGCGCUAAUACCGCAUACGAUCUAUGGAUGAAAGCGGGGGACCGUAAGGCCUCGCGCGAUUGGAGCGGCCGAUGUCAAAUUAGGUAGUUGGUGGGGUAAAGACUCACCAAGCCAACGAUCUGUAGCUGGUCUGAGAGGACGACCAGCCACACUGGGACUGAGACACGGCCCAGACUCCUACGGGAGGCAGCAGUGGGGAAUUUUGGACAAUGGGCGCAAGCCUGAUCCAGCAAUGCCGCGUGCAGGAAGAAGGCCUUCGGGUUGUAAACUGCUUUUGUACGGAACGAAAAGGCUCUGGUUAAUACCUGGGGCUCAUGACGGUACCGUAAGAAUAAGCACCGGCUAACUACGUGCCAGCAGCCGCCGUAAAAC